AUUGAACGCUGGCGGCAGGCCUAACACAUGCAAGUCGAACGAGUGGCGGACGGGUGAGUAAUGUCUGGGAAACUGCCUGAUGGAGGGGGAUAACUACUGGAAACGGUAGCUAAUACCGCAUACAAUCGGAUGGGACAAGAUGGGAUUAGCUAGUAGGUGGGGUAAAGGCUAACCUAGGCGACGAUCCCUAGCUGGUCUGAGAGGAUGACCAGCCACUCUGGAACUGAGACCCGUUCCAGACUCCUACGGGAGGCAGCAGUGGGGAAUAUUUCACAAUUGUCGCAAGCCUGAUGCAGCCAUUCCGCGUGUAUGAAGAAGGCCUUCGGGUUGUAAAGUACUUUCAGCGGUGAGGCGUUACCCGCAGAAGAAGCACCGGCUAACUCCGUGCCAGCCGCCGCGGUAAUUC
rnacentral:rRNA from 1 species